rnacentral:rRNA from 1 species
ACUCAAAGGAAUUGACGGGGGCCCGCACAAGCGGUGGAGCAUGUGGUUUAAUUCGACGCAACGCGCAGAACCUUACCAAGGCUUGACAUGGGAAAGACCGGACGAGAGAUCGUCCUUCUCCAGCAAUGGAGCUUUCCACACAGGUGCUGCAUGGCUGUCGUCAGCUCGUGUCGUGAGAUGUUGGGUUAAGUCCCGCAACGAGCGCAACCCUCGUUUCUAGUUGCCAGCAUUCAGUUGGGCACUCUAGAGAGACUGCCGCGAAUAACGCGGAGGAAGGUGAGGACGACGUCAAGUCAUCAUGGCCCUUACGUCUUGGGCUACACACGUGCUACAAUGGGUAUUACAGAGGGUCGCAAGAGCGCAAGCUGGAGCCAAUCCCGAAAGGUACCCUCAGUUCAGAUUGAGGUCUGCAACUCGACCUCAUGAAGGUGGAAUCGCUAGUAAUCGCGGAUCAGAACGCCGCGGUGAAUACGUUCCCGGGCCUUGUACACACCGCCCGU